UACAGAGGUCUCAAGCGUUGUUCGGAUUCAUUGGGCGUAAAGUGUGUGUAGGUGGCGCCGUAAGUCGGGUGUGAAAUUUCGGAGCUUAACUCCGAAACUGCAUUCGAUACUGCGGUGCUUGAGGACUGGAGAGGAGACUGGAAUUCAUGGUGUAGCAGUGAAAUGCGUAGAGAUCAUGAGGAAGACCAGUGGCGAAGGCGGGUCUCUGGACAGUUCCUGACACUGAGACACGAAGGCCAGGGGAGCAAACGGG
rnacentral:rRNA from 1 species